rnacentral:rRNA from 1 species
AUUGAACGCUGGCGGCAGGCUUAACACAUGCAAGUCGAGCGGGGUGAUGGUGCUUGCACUAUCACUUAGCGGCGGACGGGUGAGUAAUGCUUAGGAAUCUGCCUAUUAGUGGGGGACAACAUCUCGAAAGGGAUGCUAAUACCGCAUACGUCCUACGGGAGAAAGCAGGGGAUCACUUGUGACCUUGCGCUAAUAGAUGAGCCUAAGUCGGAUUAGCUAGUCGGUGGGGUAAAGGCCUACCAAGGCGACGAUCUGUAGCGGGCCUGAGAGGAUGAUCCGCCACACUGGGACUGAGACACGGCCCAGACUCCUACGGGAGGCAGCAGUGGGGAAUAUUGGACAAUGGGGGGAACCCUGAUCCAGCCAAGCCGCGUGUGUGAAGAAGGCCUUAUGGUUGUAAAGCACUUUAAGCGAGGAGGAGGCUCUUUUGGUUAAUACCCAAGAUGAGUGGACGUUACUCGCAGAAUAAGCACCGGCUAACUCUGUGCCAGCAGCCGCGGUAA